UACGUAGGUGGCAAGCGUUGUCCGGAUUUACUGGGCGUAAAGAGCGCGCAGGCGGUCGAAUAAGUCGAAUGUGAAAGCCCCCGGCUCAACUGGGGAGGGUCACGCGAUACUGAUCGACUCGAAGGCAGGAGAGGGUAGUGGAAUUCCCGGUGUAGUGGUGAAAUGCGUAGAUAUCGGGAGGAACACCAGUGGCGAAGGCGACUACCUGGCCUGUUCUUGACGCUGAGGCGCGAAAGCUAGGGGAGCAAACGGG
rnacentral:rRNA from 1 species